UACGUAGGAGGCAAGCGUUGUCCGGAUUUAUUGGGCGUAAAGAGCGUGUAGGCGGCUAGGUAGGUCCGUUGUGAAAACUCGAGGCUCAACCUCGAGACGUCGAUGGAAACCAUCUAGCUAGAGUCCGGAAGAGGAGAGUGGAAUUCCUGGUGUAGCGGUGAAAUGCGCAGAUAUCGGGAAGAACACCCGUGGCGAAGGCGGUUCUCUGGGACGGUACUGACGCUGAGACGCGAAAGCGUGGGGAGCGAACAGG
rnacentral:rRNA from 1 species